ensembl:lncRNA
AUUCUUUGCCCGAGUGUCGUGCCGGGGAUUUUAAAUUGCCCCCGUUGCUGGUCUUAGCCUGUGGGGAGCCAGACCAGCUCGCGAUUGAGGCUGGGACCAUUACUACCAGUACGAGUGGACCCGCGGGGCACAAGCCUUCCUGUGUGUGUGUGUGUGUGUGUGUGUGUGUGUGUGUGUGUGUGUGUGUGUGUGUGUGGUUUCUUUUAUUAAAGCUAUUAAAGUGUGUUUUAGUUCUUUGUAUCAUCUGUAGCGAGCCUGACGCUCAGUGUCCUGUUAUUCUUUUAACAUAUUUUUCUGUGUUUUCUUUUAGUGAACGGAGGACGUACCAGUGGCCCUGGGACCUCAGGUGGUGGGUCGUUUUCACACUUUCUUUUGUACAGCACCGGGUGGGCUGCAGUGAUUUUCGUUGUGUGUGAUUUUCUUUUGGGUCCACGGCUGCUGGUGGCGUUGUCAUUUUAUUUCCUUUUAUCUAACCC